CCUACGGGUGGCAGCAGUCGAGAAUCAUUCACAAUGGGGGAAACCCUGAUGGUGCGACGCCGCGUGGGGGAAUGAAGGUCUUCGGAUUGUAAACCUCUGUCACCAGGGAAGAAAGGUCACUUUGCUAAUUAGCAGUGAAUUGACGGUACCUGCAAAGGAAGCACAGGCUAACUCCGUGCCAGCAGCCGCGGUAAUACGGAGGGUGCGAGCGUUAAUCGGAAUUACUGGGCGUAAAGCGCGCGUAGGCGGUAUGUCAAGUCAAGGGUGAAAUCCCCGCGCUCAACGUGGGAACUGCCUUUGAAACUGGCCAACUGGAGUGUGUGAGAGGAUAGUGGAAUUCCAGGUGUAGGAGUGAAAGCCGUAGAUAUCAGGAGGAACAUCAGUGGCGAAGGCGACUAACUGGAACAUAACUGACGCUGAGGAGCGAAAGCGUGGGUAGCAAACAGGAUUAGAUACCCUAGUAGUC
rnacentral:rRNA from 1 species